UAUUUCCCUCAAAAAGAAAAAUCUCUCUCCUUCCCGUGUUCUUCCUGGACACUGAAUCCAAUCCCAAAUCCUCGUCCACUUCGAUCGACACUUGGCCCCUGUAGGAUACGAGACUCCAUAUAAAUAUCCAACACCUCGUUCUCUUCCGAUUUUUGUAAAAAUCCAUCGCUCCCGUGCCCUAGAACAGCGCCCCAAUCUCGCCGGAGUGCCGCCGCUCUUGACCUCCGCAAUCGCCGUUUCCGUCAUCGACAAAGGGGAAGCAGUGUAGCGACGCCCACGACCUCAACUGAAGGUCGCCUCCAACGCCGCCGUUCCAGGCAGUCACCACCGUCGCGGGAGAAAGCCCCAGUCAUCCCUCCGGACGUGUUCGAGUUCACAUACGCCUGCGGCACCUUGUCCUGCCUUCCCAGAGGUCCUGAUAUCCUUGUAGCCGCUGCCGUCGUCACCACCGAGCCGCCCCGCAUCAUUCUUCUCCAAGUCCGGUGACCGCCUACCCUUGUUCUUCUCCGGAUAUUCAGGUGAUCAGUGAGAUACAGUAGGGUCGCGAGUCUUCACUCAACAUGUUCUCUAGUGGGCAUUGAUGGACUCAUCGUUUAUUAUGCUACCUUUCCGCUGUUAUUAUUGAAUAAAGUUAGCUAUGUACUACUCAGUUUGUAAUACUUUGUGAAUUCUGGAUCAUACGUUAUAGUAAAUGAUGCACUUGUUA